AGUGAACGCUGGCGGUAGGCCUAACACAUGCAAGUCGAACGGCAGCACAGUAAGAGCUUGCUCUUACGGGUGGCGAGUGGCGGACGGGUGAGGAAUACAUCGGAAUCUACUUUUUCGUGGGGGAUAACGUAGGGAAACUUACGCUAAUACCGCAUACGACCUACGGGUGAAAGCAGGGGAUCUUCGGACCUUGCGCGACUGAAUGAGCCGAUGUCGGAUUAGCUAGUUGGCGGGGUAAAGGCCCACCAAGGCGACGAUCCGUAGCUGGUCUGAGAGGAUGAUCAGCAACACUGGAACUGAGACACGGUCCAGACUCCUACGGGAGGCAGCAGUGGGGAAUAUUGGACAAUGGGCGCAAGCCUGAUCCAGCCAUACCGCGUGGGUGAAGAAGGCCUUCGGGUUGUAAAGCCCUUUUGUUGGGAAAGAAAAGCAGCAGGUUAAUACCCCGCUGUUCUGACGGUACCCAAAGAAUAAGCACCGGCUAACUUCGUG
rnacentral:rRNA from 1 species